UUGCUGGUGUCUGACUGCAGCACCUCCAGUACAGCCAGGGAUGGAAAAUCGCACUGGGUGGCAGCCCAGAAAUGUGCAGCAGGCCGGAGUUCUUCAAGCAUCCACCUUCAAAAGGCACAAUUUACGUCACGAAACCUCCAAACCUGCCAGCACCGAGGGGAGGAAGGAAGCUGCAAGAAGAGAGGAAAACCACACAAAGUCUAUUGGAAACGCUGCAUAGCAUCGCGCCCGGCCCAAAAAAAGACCUUGCAGCAGCGGGUCCUCGAAUGGGGAGAGGAUUGAAGGCAUCUGGAGCAGCCCCUGGCUUCUUUUCUUCCCUGUCCCUGGCACCGUGGUUUGCUGUAAAUCCAAUCCUUGCCGUGCUAUCCACCGAGGAUCCCCAAAGAGGGGGUCAGAGCUCACAAAGUACUCGGAAAAUAAGCAAGGGAGGCAUCUCCGUACCUGUCCCGUACAGGGAGAAGCAAAAUUCCCUCUGUACGCAAAGUUUUAGUGAUGGGGAACUGGUAAAAUGGUUUGAAAAAAGAAAAAAAAAACACCUCUGUGGUUGCAGCAGUGGGAAAGUUGUUCCAAUGCCAAACUGAAACUCAAUUUCUCAGCAAGUCAGAACUUAAAUUCUGCUUCUGAGUCACUCGAAGAUUAUUUUUUUUUUCUCCAUUAAUUAAUUAAUCCAUUUUUAUAAAUUUUUACGGCGCGAGAAGGAAAUUCUGCUGGUCCCUUUUCACCAGCUAAAAAGCAUUUCUUUUCUAGCUGCUCGAGCUGAAUUUUAAAAAUAGCAGGAGCGGAAACGCUCAGCACCGUGCCUGUGAGCGUGCCGGAGCCGUGAGCGUUUUUCUCUGCGUUUUUGGCUGUGGGGUGGACACGGGGAAAGCUUCAGCUUCGCCUCCCAGCAAAGAGCUGAUGCCCGGAGCCAUCCCUGGGCCAAAGCAGUCGGGAGCCCUGCAGGAACCCAGGAUGCUGCCCUUGGGAGAGGAGAAUCCCAUCAAUAAUUAAGGACCAUGUAAACCUGGAGCUGAUUUAGGAUUUGUGCUUAGUCCCACAUUUUAAUCUCUCCAGGGCGAGGGGAUCACUUGGGGAAAAGGGGAGAAUUUGAAGGAGUGGGGCCAGGCUUGUGAAAGCCACACUCGGGUGCGGGUUUUCCGUGCGACCCUGGGAGUUGCAGCCACCGUUCCCCAUCCGCGAAAUGGGGAGAACAAAGCUUUCUUCCCACCCUUUUGUCUGCUCGCUCUAUUUUAGCUCGUGGCUUUCAGCCGUAAUUUUUCCCUGCUCUCAAAGCCCUGCGAGAGCUCCGCUCCUUCCCGUGCCCCAGAUACAGGUAAGCGCUCUGCCAGAUGCCGGGAAGGUAAGCAGAAAAAAUUAAAAAAAAAAAAAAAGUAGAGGUGAGCUUUCCAGCCUGCUGCUAAUUACCCCGAUACGGUGGCAAUUAGGAAGGUGGCAUUUUCACAUGGCCCCGGCUGCCUUUAUGUAACGCCGAGCUUCCUACAGGACAGGUUUAACCAGCAUUUUAAGUAGGGUGCAGAAUGAAACCCAUCUUACUAAUGCGAUCAGAAUGCCAGGCGCUGAAGGAGAAAGGGGGGAAAAAAUAUAUAUAUUUAUUAUCGUUUGCACCCAAAACGUGGCGUGGGGGCCUCUAGGAAGGCGCCAGCUCCUUCCAGCAGGGGAGGGAAGAUGCAAACGGGGAGGAUUUGGCAGAUUUUGCAGAACUUUGACCCCACGGUGGGGUUUCGGAAACACGGCGUGACUUUGUCCCUGCAGUACCUGGGGGAAACCGGGCGAUGCUGCCCCCACGAUGCGAGGGGAGCAGCCGGGAUGAGGAAAUCCAGGUGAGCUGCUCGCUCCCAGAGCCUCCAGGACCCUACAGCAGAGGCAGGAGGUGGCCACGGGUCUCCCCCAGCACCGUGUCCUCCCCCAGCCCUUUCCUUUAUUCCCAUCCUGCCAAACGCCCCUCGGACAUGAGGCGCAGGAUGGAGGCACGGUGGUGGAAACGGCCUCAAGAGGAGCCUGCUCCUUUCCUUCUCCCUCCAGGGAUGUUUUGUGGCGCUGCUCCGAAAAAUCUCCUGGCCUCCAGGGCCUGGAGCAGAGCGCAGAGGUGGGAUCGUUAUAAGAAUAAUUAUCCCCGGGCCCUGCGCAUCCCAAGAGCUUAAAAAUAACGCUGAGCGGUGUAAUAUAUUCAAAAUAAAUACUUGCAACUCGGUUUCA
rnacentral:lncRNA from 1 species